rnacentral:rRNA from 1 species
AGAGUUUGAUCAUGGCUCAGAUUGAACGCUGGCGGCAUGCCUUACACAUGCAAGUCGAACGGUAACGGGCCUUCGGGUGCCGACGAGUGGCGAACGGGUGAGUAAUGCAUCGGAACGUACCUUUCAGUGGGGAUAACGUAGCGAAAGUUACGCUAAUACCGCAUAUUCUGUGAGCAGGAAAGCAGGGGAUCGCAAGACCUUGCGCUGAUUGAGCGGCCGAUGUCAGAUUAGCUAGUUGGUGAGGUAAAGGCUCACCAAGGCGACGAUCUGUAGCGGGUCUGAGAGGAUGAUCCGCCACACUGGAACUGAGACACGGUCCAGACUCCUACGGGAGGCAGCAGUGGGGAAUUUUGGACAAUGGGGGCAACCCUGAUCCAGCCAUGCCGCGUGAGUGAAGAAGGCCUUCGGGUUGUAAAGCUCUUUCGGCCGGGAAGAAAUCGUAUGGGCUAAUACCCUGUGCGGAUGACGGUACCGGCAUAAGAAGCACCGGCUAACUACGUG